rnacentral:rRNA from 1 species
AUGCUGGAGGUAUCAGAAGUGCGAAUGCUGACAUAAGUAACGAUAAAGCGGGUGAAAAGCCCGCUCGCCGGAAGACCAAGGGUUCCUGUCCAACGUUAAUCGGGGCAGGGUGAGUCGACCCCUAAGGCGAGGCCGAAAGGCGUAGUCGAUGGGAAACAGGUUAAUAUUCCUGUACUUGGUGUUACUGCGAAGGGGGGACGGAGAAGGCUAUGUUGGCCGGGCGACGGUUGUCCCGGUUUAAGCGUGUAGGCUGGUUUUCCAGGCAAAUCCGGAAAAUCAAGGCUGAGGCGUGAUGACGAGGCACUACGGUGCUGAAGCAACAAAUGCCCUGCUUCCAGGAAAAGCCUCUAAGCAUCAGGUAACAUCAAAUCGUACCCCAAACCGACACAGGUGGUCAGGUAGAGAAUACCAAGGCGCUUGAGAGAACUCGGGUGAAGGAACUAGGCAAAAUGGUGCCGUAACUUCGGGAGAAGGCACGCUGAUAUGUAGGUGAAGCGACUUGCUCGUGGAGCUGAAAUCAGUCGAAGAUACCAGCUGGCUGCAACUGUUUAUUAAAAACACAGCACUGUGCAAACACGAAAGUGGACGUAUACGGUGUGACGCCUGCCCGGUGCCGGAAGGUUAAUUGAUGGGGUCAGCGCAAGCGAAGCUCUUGAUCGAAGCCCCGGUAAACGGCGGCCGUAACUAUAACGGUCCUAAGGUAGCGAAAUUCCUUGUCGGGUAAGUUCCGACCUGCACGAAUGGCGUAAUGAUGGCCAGGCUGUCUCCACCCGAGACUCAGUGAAAUUGAACUCGCUGUGAAGAUGCAGUGUACCCGCGGCAAGACGGAAAGACCCCGUGAACCUUUACUAUAGCUUGACACUGAACAUUGAGCCUUGAUGUGUAGGAUAGGUGGGAGGCUUUGAAGUGUGGACGCCAGUCUGCAUGGAGCCGACCUUGAAAUACCACCCUUUAAUGUUUGAUGUUCUAACGUGGACCCGUGAUCCGGGUUGCGGACAGUGUCUGGUGGGUAGUUUGACUGGGGCGGUCUCCUCCUAAAGAGUAACGGAGGAGCACGAAGGUUGGCUAAUCCUGGUCGGACAUCAGGAGGUUAGUGCAAUGGCAUAAGCCAGCUUGACUGCGAGCGUGACGGCGCGAGCAGGUGCGAAAGCAGGUCAUAGUGAUCCGGUGGUUCUGAAUGGAAGGGCCAUCGCUCAACGGAUAAAAGGUACUCCGGGGAUAACAGGCUGAUACCGCCCAAGAGUUCAUAUCGACGGCGGUGUUUGGCACCUCGAUGUCGGCUCAUCACAUCCUGGGGCUGAAGUAGGUCCCAAGGGUAUGGCUGUUCGCCAUUUAAAGUGGUACGCGAGCUGGGUUUAGAACGUCGUGAGACAGUUCGGUCCCUAUCUGCCGUGGGCGCUGGAGAACUGAGGGGGGCUGCUCCUAGUACGAGAGGACCGGAGUGGACGCAUCACUGGUGUUCGGGUUGUCAUGCCAAUGGCACUGCCCGGUAGCUAAAUGCGGAAGAGAUAAGUGCUGAAAGCAUCUAAGCACGAAACUUGCCCCGAGAUGAGUUCUCCCUGACUCCUUGA